ACUGGAAACGGUAGCUAAUACCGCAUAACGUCGCAAGACCAAAGAGGGGGACCUUAGGGCCUCUUGCCAUCGGAUGUGCCCAGAUGGGAUUAGCUAGUAGGUGGGGUAAUGGCUCACCUAGGCGACGAUCCCUAGCUGGUCUGAGAGGAUGACCAGCCACACUGGAACUGAGACACGGUCCAGACUCCUACGGGAGGCAGCAGUGGGGAAUAUUGCACAAUGGGCGCAAGCCUGAUGCAGCCAUGCCGCGUGUAUGAAGAAGGCCUUCGGGUUGUAAAGUACUUUCAGCGGGGAGGAAGGGAGUAAAGUUAAUACCUUUGCUCAUUGACGUUACCCGCAGAAGAAGCACCGGCUAACUCCGUGCCAGCAGCCGCGGUAAUACGGAGGGUGCAAGCGUUAAUCGGAAUUACUGGGCGUAAAGCGCACGCAGGCGGUUUGUUAAGUCAGAUGUGAAAUCCCCGGGCUCAACCUGGGAACUGCAUCUGAUACUGGCAAGCUUGAGUCUCGUAGAGGGGGGUAGAAUUCCAGGUGUAGCGGUGAAAUGCGUAGAGAUCUGGAGGAAUACCGGUGGCGAAGGCGGCCCCCUGGACGAAGACUGACGCUCAGGUGCGAAAGCGUGGGGAGCAAACAGGAUUAGAUACCCUGGUAGUCCACGCCGUAAACGAUGUCGACUUGGAGGUUGUGCCCUUGAGGCGUGGCUUCCGGAGCUAACGCGUUAAGUCGACCGCCUGGGGAGUACGGCCGCAAGGUUAAAACUCAAAUGAAUUGACGGGGGCCCGCACAAGCGGUGGAGCAUGUGGUUUAAUUCGAUGCAACGCGAAGAACCUUACCUGGUCUUGACAUCCACGGAAGUUUUCAGAGAUGAGAAUGUGCCUUCGGGAACCGUGAGACAGGUGCUGCAUGGCUGUCGUCAGCUCGUGUUGUGAAAUGUUGGGUUAAGUCCCGCAACGAGCGCAACCCUUAUCCUUUGUUGCCAGCGGUCCGGCCGGGAACUCAAAGGAGACUGCCAGUGAUAAACUGGAGGAAGGUGGGGAUGACGUCAAGUCAUCAUGGCCCUUACGACCAGGGCUACACACGUGCUACAAUGGCGCAUACAAAGAGAAGCGACCUCGCGAGAGCAAGCGGACCUCAUAAAGUGCGUCGUAGUCCGGAUUGGAGUCUGCAACUCGACUCCAUGAAGUCGGAAUCGCUAGUAAUCGUGGAUCAGAAUGCCACGGUGAAUACGUUCCCGGGCCUUGUACACACCGCCCGUCACACCAUGGGAGUGGGUUGCAAAAGAAGUAGGUAGCUUAACCUUCGGGAGGGCGCUUACCACUUUGUGAUUCAUGACUGGGGUGAAGUCGUAACAAGGUAACCGUAGGGGAACCUGCGGUUGGAUCACCUCCUUACCUUAAAGAAGC
rnacentral:rRNA from 1 species